UGCGACGGUGCGCUGUUGUAGUUUUCCGGUAUGCAUUCGCGAGCGAAUUAUAGGCUAGUAAGCCGGCGGACUGCGGAGAUACUUUUUCGCUGCACGUGGAUGUAUUCGCAUUCGCGAUUCCAUUUUUUAUCCUGCCAUCGCAUCGUCGACCUCGUCGUUCGUCCCGUUGAGAGCAUCUACGUGAACUUUUUGCCGUUACUGCGAUAUGAUUUUUAGUCGAAGGGACUACGGGCAAUUAUGUUCGACGUUCAAACGAAAAAUAUUUGCAUUUGGUGGAUAGAUGGAUGCAAUUCGCUAGAAUUUUCUGGAAAUGGAUCUUCUUAACAAUGGAGCUGAUCUUCAUGAGGUUUUGGAACUGCAUAAGUAAAAAUUCAUCAUGUCUGCCAUGGAUACAAAUGGCACGCUGAUGUAUGAUGCUGGCACAGCGAUGGCUGUAAUGAGGAGAACUACAUGCAACCAAUACAAUCUUUAUGUGCUGAACACAAAACUCCACUCAUCAAACUGGACAUGGAUGGAAUAUAGAUGCAAAAGUUAGAAAAUUCUUCUGAUCUUUUUGCCUAGUCGUCAAGAAUUCACUGGAUGAAGAAGAAUAUUGGAACAAGUCUUUGGAUAUGCGGUGAAGUUUCAGAAUUGUGAAGAAAAUGAACCUCUGCAAAAGACAUCAUAUUGAAUUAUCUCAAGCAGCACAGUUCACUGUAAAUCAACUAUUUACUUGAGGAAAAUCAUUGGAUACGCAUAGAUAGUGAAGAAUGAAGGAGAAAAUUAAUGUUUGCAAAAGGUACAAUUUUAUCUCAAGGAGCCUUAUCCACAGUGAGUCAUCGGUAUAACUUGAAUAAUCCAUUCGAGAACCAGUAAUGAUUGAGGUAAAUAAAUAUUUUUUUGUUGAUAAAAAAUAAAUUAUUAAUUAUUGCAAGAA